CAGUCGCCGCGGGAAUACGUAGGUGGCAAGCGUUGUCCGGAAUUAUUGGGCGUAAAGGGCUCGCAGGCGGUUUCUUAAGUCUGAUGUGAAAGCCCCCGGCUCGACCGGGGAGGGUCAUUGGAAACUGGGAAACUUGAGUGCAGAAGAGGAGAGUGGAAUUCCACGUGUAGCGGUGAAAUGCGUAGAGAUGUGGAGGAGCACCAGUGGCGAAGGCGACUCUCAGGUCUGUAACUGACGCUGAGGAGCGAAAGCGUGGGGAGCGAACAGGAUUAGAUACCCGAGUAGUCCCUGUCUCUUAUAC
rnacentral:rRNA from 1 species